rnacentral:rRNA from 1 species
CCCUUAGAUGUCCGGGGCUGCACGCGCGCUACACUGAAGGAAUCAGCGUGCUAAAACCAUUGUCGAAAGGCAUUGGUAAACCCAUUAAAAUCCUACGUGAUUGGGAUCGGGAAUUGCAAUUAUUUCCCUUGAACGAGGAAUUCCCAGUAAGUGUGGGUCAUAAGCUCGCGUUGAUUACGUCCCUGCCCUUUGUACACACCGCCCGUCGCUGCCCGGGACUGAGCCGUUUCGAGAAAAGCGGGGACUGCUGCUGUCGGGGCUUUCGGGCCUUGGCUUCGGUGGAAACCGCUUUAAUCGCAGUGGUUUGAACCGGGCAAAAGUCGUAACA